rnacentral:miRNA from 1 species
AGGGUUGAUAUGAGAACACAC